UGCAAAACUGGGCAGCACUUUUAAGCAAAAGUGCCAAUAUUUAUCAAAGCAAAUUCUGAGAAAUAAACAAUUAAAAACCAAGUGUGAUGUUUUUAUAGCGAAUUUGUUUUAUUAUUAAAUGGAAAAGCUAUAUCAGUGUCUUAUAAAAAAAUUUGUUAUGAAUCACAUUAAUAGUUUUUAAGUGAGCUUGUCACAGAACAGCUGUCGUAUCUUAAAUUCUCCAAUUCUCCGCACACAGCGGAUUUUUUUGUGUGCUGGAAUUUUUCAUUGACAGAUAAGAAAUUGUUUAUCCGUAAAAAUUUUGCGCAAAUUCCAACAAACUAUAUACGAGUCUGCAAUUAACUGCAGACGUAUAGCAAUAAUUACUUGUGUUCGUACAAUGGCAGAAGGAGGUAAUUGCAGUAAUACUAGUGUCGGGAAUGGUGUUUGUAAUGAAAACAGUUCUGAAACUCCCAGUACGGAGGAGCAAUGGCGUGGUUGUGCGAUGGAAGAAAUAUAUCGCGGUAUGAAUGAAUUCGAAUUGGAUCAUGUGCCAGCGGUGCGGCCCAGUGAUUCACAUACAGUGCUUUAUCAUUGCCCAAUACAUGAGCCUGACAAUGUGCCGCCACGACCACUACGCGCUCAUCAUAAAUGGGAUGCCACACAUGUGCGGCUACCAUGUUCCAGUAAAAGUCAAUAUCCAGUAACGGCGGCAGAUGGUAGUUCCACAAUAGAAGCGCGUUGGGAAAUGAUUGAGAAAGCAUUGCUGCAGCCAAUUACCAAUAGCAAAGAACUACAAGCGGCAAUACUUUCAUACAAUACUAAAUAUGAAGGCCAAUGGAAUUUUCGUUCACUACAUCGACUUUUUGAAGAUGAUCUAGAUGAGAGUGAAUCGCGUGUGUUUUUUGAAGAUCUGCUACCGCGUAUCAUACGCUUGGCGCUACGCUUACCCGAAUUGGUGCAAGCGCCAAUUCCUUUACUCAAGCAGGGGCAGAAUCAUUCAGUGACAUUAUCUCAACAGCAGAUAUCUUGUCUCUUGGCCAAUGCGUUCCUGUGCACGUUCCCCCGGCGGAAUACAAUGAAAAAGCGUUCAGAAUAUAGCGCAUUUCCGGAUAUCAAUUUUAAUAGGCUCUUUCAAAGUAGUGGAAAGUCUGUUAUAGAAAAAAUUAAAUGUAUCUGUCAUUACUUCCGACGUGUGUGUCCAACAGAACGUGAUAGCUCUAAUGUACCCACUGGUGUGGUGACAUUUACACGUCGUAGCUUAGAGCCCAAAGAACUGCCUAACUGGGCCGAAUGUAAAGCACCAUUAGGUGCCACACCUUUACACAUCACUUCUGAUGGUACCAUUGAAGAUCAGGGUUUCGGUUUGCUGCAAGUUGAUUUCGCUAAUAAAUAUCUUGGUGGCGGAGUACUCGGUUCUGGUUGUGUACAAGAAGAAAUACGAUUUGUAAUUUGUCCUGAACUGCUGCUCUCCAAGUUAUUUACAGAGUGUCUGCGUCCCACCGAGGCACUACUGAUGGUUGGCACUGAACGUUUUAGCGACUAUAGUGGUUAUGCCGGCACCUUUGAAUGGGCGGGCAAUCAUGAGGACAACAUACCACGCGAUAGCUCAAGACGACGUCAAACGCAUAUAGUGGCGAUUGAUGCGCUACAUUUUAUGCAAUCACAACACCAAUAUCGAGAAGAUCUGAUAAAGCGGGAAUUAAAUAAGGCUUAUGUCGGCUUUCAACACACGUUGAGCACGCCGGCACCCGGUGUGGCAUCCGGUAAUUGGGGCUGUGGUGCAUUUGGCGGUGAUCCCCGGCUGAAAGCAUUACUGCAAUUAAUGGUGUGUACCGUAACACAACGCCCGCUUGUAUACUUCACCUUUGGCGACGCAGAAUUGCGCGAUGAAGUGCACCGCAUGCACACAUUCUUACUGGAACGUAAUGUGUGCGUAAAGGAUUUGUGGAAUUUGCUCACUAGCUACCAAAGUCAAAAUAUGCCCGGCAAUGAACUGUAUAACUUCAUCUACGGCUGCAUUAGUAACACAUUAAAGCGCAGUCCGAAGACGAAGUUGGUGUCACCAAAGAGUAAAAAUAAGCUUAGUUUCUUAACCAAUUGGUUGAAACCGAAACAACAAACCAUUGCUAAGGAAGCGCCAAUUUCCACAACAGCAACACGGCGAACAAAUUUAAGUGAAGAUAUUUUCGCCUCUACUUCUGAAUCGGAAGUAGAAGCGAACGUAGAGGCGACUGCAAUCACAAUUUCUUCAACGAGUACUACGAACUGCCCGCCAGUAGAAAAAGAAGAAGAAGAAGAAGCAAAGCAGAAUGUGGCGCAACUCACGACAGUCGAUCUAACAAACCAAUCACAAUCAAAUGAUAGUAUUGUUAAUCUGCUGAAUAGUGAAGAGUCUGUACUUGAUGAAUUAGAAAGUACUGAAAUACAAAUAACGGGAUCCAAUAAUAAUACAUCAACGGAGAACUCAAAUAUCGCCGCAUCGACAGCGAAACCUACAGGUGCACGCCAACGUUCGCUAUUGGAGAUGUUAGACCAAUGUUAUACGACAAAAUCAAGCAAUGGUCCAGCUACAAAGCGUAUAUGUCUAAAUAAAACCAGCAACCCAAACUCAACAACACCGACAAAGCAACAAUAAUGGUUAUGAAAUAUAUGAUUAAAAACUAUAAAUAAUUGCCUAGCAAAGAAUCAAGCGUAAACGCAUCAUUACACAGCCAGCUAACUAUAUAUAUCGCCCUAUAUAAUGCAAGUAGUGUAGACGAAGUGCCGAUUGCUAUUACAUACAUAAAUAUAUUUUUUAUUGAAGCACCGUUGCAUUAUUGAAAGCUUUCGCUUGUCUAUACAUAUGUAUGUAUGACGUGACGUCUUCGCGCUAAAUUUUGUUUCGCGCAAUAACAAUAACAACAACAGCAAUAGCAGCAGCAGCGCUCGCAUACAGCGCAAACAAAGUGCAUUGCACUCCUGCAAAUUUCGCUAAAAAUAAAUGCAUACGGCAAUGUAAGAAACGCGACUGUGAAACAUGUGCGCCUGUUAUCGCCGUUACACGAUGCACUUGUGUACACAACAUGUUGCUUGCUUGCAUGACUUACGUAGCGUCGUAACGUAGCCAUCGUACGUGUGCAUAUCGUUCGAGAAUAAUACAUUUGCAAUUCAUGUUUUUUUGUUUUUGUUUUUGUUUUUGUUUAUACCGGUCAGAAUGUGUGCGAUGUUAACUUAAUUAUUUAUUACGGUUUGUUAUGACUGUCGCUGCGUAAUAAUGUGUGUGUGUGUGUCAGCGUGAAGUGUGCGUGAUCGUAAUAGCACGGCGUCUAGUUGCUAAAAUUAAAUUUUACUAUGUUGUUCAAUAAAAAAAGUUUGUUUACUAUCAACUCAAAUACAAUAUAUUCUGCGCUGAUUAGAAUACUACAUAUUUGUAUGCCGGCGCAAAGAUAAGAGCAAGUGAUGCUUAACGAGCAAAACACUUAGGCUAAUUUCACAAUAAGUACUCGCGUAACCCUUUUGUGUGUUUUUGAGUGUUAUUUUUAUACUUUCUACUUUAAUUUACUGAUAAGUGUCAACAAAGUGUGCCAAUAAUAACUGUUGUUUUCACCAACUCAAGGAUAUUGAAAACAACACCACUCAUCGAUUGCUUGAAAUACCACAAAUCCAAUACAGCGUAAACAGCACUUAUGCACUUGGGUAGGCUCGUUCUUUGCACUGUGUGUACGCUUGCGACUGCAUGAUUUCAUUUGCGGCUUACGAGCUGAUAAGCCACCAGCGUCUGCUGAUAUCAACUGCCAAAAAUACGCGUUAUCAGCAGCGCGCUUGUUAUUUUUAUAUUUUUUUAUACAUAUUUACUCGCGUUCUGCUUUUAAUCUCUGCGUUUGUAAGCAAAUAAAACCGCAAUUCACCAUAAUUAUGGCAUUUAAUAAAUUUUUAUUGCCAUCACGAAGUCUUCGAACGGUUCGGGCGGUGAAGUGUAGCACAUGCUGCAGCAUGACAUCAACAGCAUCAAGGUCAAAUGUACAGCCGUUGACUGACAUUAGAAUGAAAAAAUAAUGAAAAGUAAAAAUGUUGACUUAAGCAACGUAUAGAAUUUGAAUUACAAACAAUAAUUUUUAUCAGACAUGAUUCAAGAAAGCAUGCAAAAUUUAAUUUAAAAUAUUCUCAAAUCAUUUUCAUCACAUGACGUCACAAUAUCAUUUACAUUCAAAAAACUAUAAAGCCAUAUCCAUAUAAAUUUAAUAAAAGCAGAGUCACACUGAAAAGGAGUUAUGCUGAGCAGUGGACGCACCUUUUUUUCCGAGGUUUCACCGGGAAUAACGUCAAAAUGGAGUAGUUUUAGUAGUUUUUUUUAUUUCAAAAAUUAUUCAUUAAAUAUGUAUCUAUAAGACAGAAAAAGUUUGAAUUAAAUAGAUAAUUUUUUACAUAAAAAAAUCAUUGAAAAAAUAACUUUUUACCCGACCAAACCCAUGUAACGCCUUAAGGAAUGUCGCCACAUAGUAUUUAUAUUUGAUGCUUUUCUAAUUGUGACACAAAGGUGUGAAAGCCUUUAUACGCCAAACCAGCUUCACUAUUUUCAAACUGAAUCGUUGCCUUAGAGUUCUAUCUUUCAAGAUCUUCAAGUAAUGUGUUCAAAUCUGAUGUGGUUCGCAAAGAGAGAGGCGUCAGCCAUGAUACUUUCACGGUCUUUUGUAGUAAAUGCAUAGUAUACGCCUAGUCCUUAAAAAUAUAUCGUUUCUAUCCAUAACUUUGGUUUUUAGAGAUUUGUUUUAUAUUUGGACUCGUUGCAUUUCGUUUUUAGUUUCUUCAGUAUUUUAUUCCCGUCAAAUUGUAAAAGAUUUCUGUCUGUAAAUAUUCUUAUUAAUUCAUCAGAUUCUCAAUAGUUAUACAGAAGAUAUUUGCACCGUUUCUUUGAGAGUUUUGGUGUGGCGACCAUAAGUACUAUUUGGAAUUACAGUGGAACUUCUCUAACUCGAAUCACCAUAAUCCGUAAACAAACUUCGAGUUAGAAAGACUUCGAGUUAUAAAAUUUUAAUUAAAACUCAAAAUUUUUCAAAAAGCUGUAAAAUAUGGAUUUACCCACAGUUUUAUUUAUUUACUUCACAUAAAGUUUUAUGUACCAUACGGUAAAACGUGUAUUCUGUAAUUUUGUUUGUUGAAGUUUGCUAUUGUUUUGCUCUUGACGUCUGUAUUCCAUGUCUUUGUUACAAGAUUUAUACAAUUCACAAGUGUAAUAUCAUAUUUUUAUGUUCGCCUCCAUACGAUAUAGAGGGACUCUUUUAAAAUUCUACCUCGAUAGUAAAAUUUUAAAAUUUGUGUUAUACCCUGGUCGAAAUUUCGAUUAAUGUAAGUUCCACUGUAUUUGAAUCGCUUAGAAUUAUUAUACGGUGGAUUUUCACAUCAAACUCGUUUCGUUUCCAAAUCAUAAGUACGAGUUCUAGAGAGUCACAUAGAAAUUAAUAGAAUUUGUUUGGAGGAAGGUCAGGCAGAUGUUUUUUCAAUAUUCGUCUGGCUUAAAUACAACAAAAACAAUUAUGUUUGUUUAUUUCAUUUCGACUUCAAUGAUGAUUGAGGAGUAUUUACAUUUUUGUUUUUGCUUUUCGAACAAUGUGGAAGUCGAUGUGUAUGUUUAUGUUUAUGCCUGUUAGACAUUAAGUACCAUAUAAAGUAGAAACAAGUAAUAUAUUUGUAUGUUCACACUGUUCACUCUGUUCUUAUAUCAACAUUAUACAUAUAUGUAUGUUAAGUAUAUUAGAUUUUUUUAUACAUAUGUAUAUACUAAGUCAUUUAUAUGUCUGUUAUAUUUUGACCUUGUUACGCCAAUAUAAAAACAGCAAUAAACGUGUUUUUAACAAAUUCUCAGACAAUUGAAAAAUAUUUAAUUUAAAAAAUAUUAAUUUUGAAAUUAAUGUGAUUUGAUAACAUAUUUAUGUACAAAUUCCCAACUAAAAACCACGUGCUGACAGCCGAUGAAAUAAAAAUUUAUUAUAAAUGGCAAAAGGAUGUUUAAAUCACCGAUCAAAUGGUGUGCAGAAAUAUGCUUUUGAUCAUAAAAAAACUAAAAAUAUUUGCUUUGAGAAGUAAACAAAUCUGUAUAAAAUUGACUUUGAAGUAUAAAAUUUAUUUGUAUAAAUUCAUUUUUGGAUACAAAUUUAUUGACUAUGUUAUAUAACUGCAUACAUAUAUACUAAAUAUGAUGGGAUAUUCCAAAAGAUACAACAUCUUUUACAGUCUUUGGCGUAUUAAUAGUGAAGACGCCGGCUCUUUCAUAUAUGUAUAUAUAUGUAUAUAUUUACUUAAACUAAGCACAUACAUAUGUAUGUGUGUCUACUUAUAUGAUAAGUGCUGUAAGUUCAGCUUUUAAAAUGCUUUCAAAAAUGCUUUCUUAUAAGUACGUGUAAGUAAAUAUAUUUUUAGUAUUGUUGUUGUUGUUGUUGUUGUUGGCGUCAAUAUGACACCCGUAUUAUAUGUAUGUAUGUAUGUAUGUUUGUUGUUAAGUAGUGUUCGUUUGUAUCGACUAAGUACACUCCAUACAACAACGGCAAUAAUGCGUAUUUAUAUUUCAAGUCCCGAAACUGGUUUCGCAACGUUGGCUUGGGUGUUGUCUCUCAACGGUUAAUGCUCCACUUUAACGCCAAUUUUAACCACAUUGCGGUUGCUGUUAUAAAUAUCGCGGUUUUUCACUUUUAAGAAUUCAAUUUUAUUUUUAUUUUCAAUUUUGUCUCAGCCAUACUUGGCGACAGUGUGUG